AUUUUAUUGACAAAUCUAUCUCAUAACUUUAUUGUUCUUUCAUUUUGUCAUAUCGGUGGAAAAAAAAAACCCCAGGCUUUGAAAAAUUGGGUUAGGAUUCAAGAGGAACAAGAAAAUUUGUUUUCUGUUUUCGAGUUUUUGGAACUGAUAUAACCCAUUCUUCAUCCCAUUGGUUUCAUCGUUUAAGGGGUUGGGACUGAAAAGGAGUGAGAGACAUGCCUCCUCAGUCUUCAGAUUUUGUACAAGAUGGAUCUAAUCCAUAUGUGCAAGAAAACAGCUCUGCUAAUAGCUCAACAAGUUUUCCUGGUAUGAUUACUGCCAAUUAGAUUUUUUUCUAUUCAUUAGGCAGUGAUAUGUUUCUGAUGCCUCACCACUCUUGAUCACAGGACCAGUUUCAGUUGGAAUUAUUCCUUUACAAGGAGGUAAAAGUUACUUUACCUU